GACGAACGCUGGCGGCGUGCUUAACACAUGCAAGUCGAACGAAGUGGCGAACGGGUGAGUAACGCGUAAACAACCUGCCCUACAGAGGGGGACAACAGUUGGAAACGAAUGCUCAUGCGGCAUACUGGAGGAGGGGAUUGCGUCUGAUUAGAUAGUUGGAGGGGGAAGGGCCCACCAAGGCGAUGAUCAGUAGCCGGUCUGAGAUGAUGAACGGCCACAUUGGGACUUAGACAAGGCCCAGACUCCUACGGGAGGCAGCAGUGGGGAAUCUUCCGCCAUGGACGAAAGUCUGACGGAGCAACGCCGCGUGAGUGAUGACGGCCUUCGGGUUGUAAAGCUCUGUUAAUCGGGACGCGGUACCGGAAUAGAAAGCCACGGCUAACUACGUGCCAGCAGCCGCGGUAAUUC
rnacentral:rRNA from 1 species